UCCCUGGUGGCUUAGACGGUAAAGUGUCUGCCUACAAUGCGGGAGACCCGGGUUUGAUUCCUGGGUGAGGAA
rnacentral:tRNA from 1 species